rnacentral:rRNA from 1 species
AUGCAGCGCGAGACCGCCGUGCCAAGUUCCCGCCGCUACCGCUGCAAGUCACGUGGCUGUCCCCCCUGCAUCGCGUCGAGUCCCUACAUCGCGUCCCUAUUGUUGUUGAUGCCAAGUCCAAGGAUCACCGAACAGGGAAUAACGCCAAGUACCAGGUCAAUGAGGACCGCCAAGUUUCUCUUCCGCCGUCUCCGAAAUUGCCAAGUACCAUGA